CAGCUCCUUUGCUAUGAUCUGUUGAAAGUCAACCCUAGACCAAGGUGUAGGGUUAGGGCUCUGCAAGUAUGUUCACUGAAAAACAUCAGCUCACCAGUAAAAGGAGCAGCACACAAACCCUUCCUCCUCCACUCACCCUGCACCUCAGCCCCUCCCUCAGCUGACCCUGCUGCCUACGUACUCCGUAAACAUUUUCAGUAAAUGUAUUAGAUGUAUAAUUAGGGUUAUAUAUUAAGGUUUCAGUAUAUUUAUUGUUAUACAAAUUUUCUUUAACUUAACACACUUUCAAGAGUCUUCUGUGUCCCUAGAGUGUAUGCACGUUUCCCUUUUAGAGCUUCAGCUUGAGAACACGGUGCAGUCAGCCAUUCUUUUCUCUGGUGGUGGCUUUUCAGCCCCUGGCUGCUGCUAACGAUGCAGCUGUGUCUUUGUACUGCUGCAGCAUCGAAAGCCCUUGACCUGUCUUUCUUUCCCUUCUCUGUCUUCUGUCCUCCCAGGCAUACGGUGAAUUCAGAGAUUCAAGGACAAGUGUGCUGGGGGAGGGAGGUCCUUUCCCACCUGACAGGAUUGCCACAGUCUGUGUCCAAAAAGGCCAGUGGCAGGAAUAGGCAGAGGGCAGCUGGUCAUGAGAGAGUUUGGGCUGACCCUCAGGGUGGAAAUCUGAGUCACAGCCCUUGGGUGAGUCCCAAGGCCCACCUAGUGGCAGCCCUGGGUUUGUGCAUUCAUGAGAUGGGAAAUUUCCAAUUAAAUGCAUCCUCAUUUGGAGAAAUGGCCUUUC
rnacentral:lncRNA from 1 species